UUACGGUCAUAUCACGUUGAAACUCUCGCUCCCGUACGAUCAACGAACUUAAGCAACGUGAAGCCUGAAGAGUACCUACAUGGGUGACCACUUGGAAGUACCAGGAGGUGUAA